AUUGAACGCUGGCGGCAUGCUUUACACAUGCAAGUCGAACGGCAGCGCGGGCUUCGGCCUGGCGGCGAGUGGCGAACGGGUGAGUAAUGCAUCGGAACGUGCCCAGUAGUGGGGGAUAGCCCGGCGAAAGCCGGAUUAAUACCGCAUACGACCUGAGGGUGAAAGCGGGGGACCGAAAGGCCUCGCGCUAUUGGAGCGGCCGAUGUCGGAUUAGCUAGUUGGUGGGGUAAAGGCUUACCAAGGCGACGAUCCGUAGCUGGUCUGAGAGGACGACCAGCCAACCUGGGAAUGGAGAACGGCCCAGGCCCCUACGGGGGGACGGGGGGGGGAAUUUUGGAAAAGGGGGGCACCCCUGAUCCAGCCAGGCCGGGGGCGGGAAGAAGGCCUUCGGGUUGUAAACCGUUUUUGUUCGGGAAGAAAUCCUCUGGGCUAAUACCCCGGGGGGAGGAGGGUCCCGGAAGAAAAAGCACCGGCUAACUACGG
rnacentral:rRNA from 1 species